AGUGAACGCUGGCGGUAGGCCUAACACAUGCAAGUCGAACGGCAGCACAGUAAGAGCUUGCUCUUACGGGUGGCGAGUGGCGGACGGGUGAGGAAUACAUCGGAAUCUACUUUUUCGUGGGGGAUAACGUAGGGAAACUUACGCUAAUACCGCAUACGACCUACGGGUGAAAGCAGGGGAUCUUCGGACCUUGCGCGAUUGAAUGAGCCGAUGUCGGAUUGGCUAGUUGGCGGGGUAAAGGCCCACCAAGGCGACGAUCCGUAGCUGGUCUGAGAGGAGGAUCAGCCACACUGGAACUGAGACACGGACCAGACUCCUACGGGAGGCAGCAGUGGGGAAUAGUGGACAAUGGGCGCAAGCCUGAUCCAGCCAUACCGCGUGGGUGAAGAAGGCCUUCGGGUUGUAAAGCCCUUUUGUGGGGAAAGAAAAGCAGCAGGUUAAUACCCCGCUGUUCUGACGGUACCCAAAGAAUAAGCACCGGCUAACUUCGCG
rnacentral:rRNA from 1 species